ACCAGUGCCGAGCCUUCCACUGCCAUUUGCGAGCUCCGUUCUGUUCAACGUCGCUGCCGCCGCAUCGAUCGACCUCUGUGUCCUCGCCAACACCGCGCCGACCAACCCGCCGCCUCCACCCAAUUUUGGGCAGCGUCUUUGUCAGCUCCUCCACGCGCGUUCUGAGUGACAUCUGUGUCCACCGUCGUUGCCGACCUUUCUCCUUGCGGUGCUACCCGCCGCUGCGCCGCCACCCUCCUACCAUUACAAAAUUACCUGAUUUAUGUUGCUGAAAAGCCUUGCCGCCGACUAUCGCGCGCCACCAUCAAGACACACACACAUGUGGAUUCGGCUAUGGAACUUAUCCUUCUCUUUCUUUUUUCCUUCUUCGCCAUCCAUUGCAGAAGACAUGGAG